GGUAAUUGCUUCAAUAGCAUAGUGAUUAAAGCAUCUGUCUUGGAUGCAGGAGGUCGCAGAUUCGAACCCUGGCCUAGUCAUACCA